UUGUUUCAGUCACGCGCUGCGUCCAGAGGUUCGCCGAGACAUGUAGGCAUUCAACGUUGUGCUUAAUGCUUCUCAGAACAGUACGUUGAAGACGGAGAUCAGGGCUUGGGCCUCGUCGUUGGUCCAACACGCCAGCAGGAACCUCCGAUGUGGGGUAAAUUGGGUGGGUGAGGACAUUGGUCAUCGUUGAUCCAGAGAGAGAGAGAGAGAGAGAGUGUGUGUCUAUACCAGAUGCAUAACGAGCAGAAAACACCAGGAAUACACGGCCGUCAGGCUAACCUGAGAUGGGCCUGGACCCACCAAGAAGCACCCUGGACUCGGGGGGACUCGGCGUGCCGGGCCUGACCCGUUUUGCUGACAAAAAAAGUAGGGGCCGGCCCGAACGGAUCGGGCUUUGACAUGCCGGUCCGGGUUUGCGGGUUUUCGGGCUUAAACGCCCUACCUACUACGUGGUCUCGGUGGAAAGUUGAAAAAUUUUAUGGCUUUUGUUCCCGUAUAAUGUGGUCAGCCGUGGCGGCGAGACCUCAGAAGUUGCCAGGAGUAUGUGAAUUAAUUUGAUUAAGAUGUUCUUCAAAUUCAGAAUAUAAUAGUGUUUCUUUCUUAGUUCAUCCGAGGCGGCGGCAAGCAAAAUAUGGUUUCCUCAUCAUCAAGCUUUGGAUUGUUUCUUUCAUUGAUACAACUUGUGUUGCUUGUAGCUCAAGCCCUUAUUCAAUCCCCUCCUCUGUUCAGAUACUGUAUAAACAGCUCAGGUAACUACACCACUGGUAGCCCUUAUGAUGAAAACCUCAGCAAUCUUCUCUUCUCUCUUUCCUCUUCCAGCAACCGUAAUGGCCACGGCUUUUAUAACUCCUCCGUCGGAGAAAACUCCGACAAAGUUUAUGCACUCGGGCUCUGUAGAGGAGAUCAACCGACCGACAACUGCAUCCGUUGCCUCAGCGGCGAUGCCAUACAUGCUCUCACUAAGGAAUGUCCUGUUCAGAAGGCGGCCUUUGGGUGGUACGACGGUUGCAUGCUACGCUACUCGAAUCAACCCUUAUAUGGGAUCCUGACAUCAUCUCCUUCUUUCGCUUUGGUGAACACACAAGACGUGUCGUCAACACUACUGAAUGAGUUCAACCAAAAGCUCAAGGCCUUGUUUGAAAGACUGUCUAGUCAAGCUGCAGCAGAAAAUGAUCUUAAGUACGCCACAGGCACGCAAAACACAAGCGACGCCAGCGUAACAAUAUAUGGACUCACACAGUGUACUCCAGAUUUGUCAGCCCAAGAAUGCACUGAAUGCUUAAGUUCAACUAUAGCACAAAUCCCACUAUGUUGUGCCGGGAAGAUUGGUGGGAGAGUUGUUGUACCCAGCUGUGUCGUAUGGUAUGAAAUUAGACCAAUUGUUGCAGCUCCGGCAUCCCCACCUUUGCCACCAAAAGCAACACCGACCUCUCCUCCUCCUCCACCGUCAGGAAAGAAGAAAAGUAAUGCAUCUCAAAGAAAAGUUAUCAUCACUGUGUCAAUUGUUGUUCCUCUGGUGGUACUGAUUAUAUUCGUAUGGAUUUAUUUGAGAUUAGUUAGGAAGACAAAGGGAAAGUUUGAAGAAGCAGAUGACAUGAGCAUAGAAGCCUUGCAAUUUGACUUUGACUCCAUUAGAGUUGCUACAAAUAACUUUUCUGAAGCAAAUACACUUGGGCGAGGCGGAUUUGGUGCUGUUUACAAGGGUAGGCUUUGGAACGAAGAAGAUAUAGCAGUGAAAAGACUUUCUAAAGAUUCUGCACAAGGAGACAUAGAAUUUAAAAAUGAGGUGAUCUUAGUGGCCAAGCUUCAACACCGGAACUUGGUUAGGCUCUUUGGUUUUUGCCUGGAAAGAAAUGAAAGACUUCUUGUCUAUGAGUUUGUACCAAACGCAAGUCUCGAUCAUUUCAUAUUUGAACCAGUCAAGCGUGCAGAUUUGGGUUGGGAAACUCGUUACAAAAUCAUUGUAGGCAUUGGGCGAGGGCUCGUAUACCUUCAUGAAGAUUCUCGUCUUAGAAUUAUCCACCGUGAUCUCAAAGCCAGUAAUAUUCUAUUAGAUGCAGAAUUGAAUCCCAAGAUCGCUGAUUUUGGCAUGGCAAGAUUGUUUAAUAUCGAUCAAACACAAGCUGAAACCAGUCGAGUUGUGGGAACCUACGGAUACAUGGCACCGGAGUAUGUUAUGCGUGGACACUUUUCUGUGAAGUCUGAUGUCUAUAGCUUUGGUGUGUUGGUCUUGGAGAUAAUAAGCGGACAGAAAAAUAGUUCAUUUCGUCACGAAGGAAAAUUGGAGGAUCUUUUGGGCUUUGGGUGGAAUAGUUGGAAGGAAGGGAUAUCUUCAAACUUGAUAGAUCCCAUGUUGAGAACUGGUUCAAGGCUGGAAAUAAUGAGAUGCAUUCACAUCGGACUGUUGUGUGUGCAGCAAAGUAUAGCUGAUAGGCCAACUAUGGCUCUAGUUAUUCAAAUGCUUACCAGCAACUCUGUUGAUCUCCCAGUACCCUCACAACCAGCAUUUUUUAUGUAUAAUCAUGGCAUUGGAUCCUCAUCCGACAUGUCGUUGGGAUUUGAGAGUAACUCAGGAUUAACAGGGUCUGAUCAAUCCAAAAGCAACUCUGCCCACAAACCUAUACCUGAAAAUUCAACUACCCGUUAGAAUUUCAGAGAGAUGUUUUGGAUUAUUUUUCUUCUUUUUUUAUUAUUUAGUAUUGAUAUGGAUUCCUACCUGCUAGCCUGCUACUUGGAUAUAAAUUUCUUCCGCCCCGUGGAUAUAUAGACAACCUUAAUUGAAAAUUCAGCCACAUAAUGCUUUCAUGUUAAGUGGAGAAGACCUUUACUUUUACAGGGAAGAAGAAGAGUGAUUCAUCUCGAAACAUCAUCAUUACUGUGACAAUGGAAAGUUUCCACUCUUGAAGUUAAUCCAUUAACUAGGAGCCAUAAACUGUUCUAGCCUAUCUCAGUUAGAAGAUACAAAUCACAUGGCCGCUCACUUUGGUCAGAUUAGAUAGAAACAUUGAUCAGCCACAAGGCAAAGGCAGCCCCAGCUCAGAGGAAAGACCCAUUGGGAGGACCAAAACUAAGCACAGCUCUAUAUAGUAAAGGAAUGUGAUCAACCAUGGCGGGGAGCAGUGGCGGAGGGAGAAAUAUAUAUGUAUGGGGGCUAAAAAAUUAACCAAACAC